UGGGGAAUUUUGGACAAUGGGGGAAACCCUGAUCCAGCCAUCCCGCGUGUGCGAUGAAGGCCUUCGGGUUGUAAAGCACUUUUGGCAGGAAAGAAACGUCAUGGGUUAAUACCCCGUGAAACUGACGGUACCUGCAGAAUAAGCACCGGCUAACUACGUGCCAGCAGCCGCGGUAAUACGUAGGGUGCAAGCGUUAAUCGGAAUUACUGGGCGUAAAGCGUGCGCAGGCGGUUCGGAAAGAAAGAUGUGAAAUCCCAGAGCUCAACUUUGGAACUGCAUUUUUAACUACCGGGCUAGAGUGUGUCAGGGGGAGGUGGAAUUCCGCGUGUAGCAGUGAAAUGCGUAGAUAUGCGGAGGAACACCGAUGGCGAAGGCAGCCUCCUGGGAUAACACUGACGCUCAUGCACGAAAGCGUGGGGAGCAAACAGG
rnacentral:rRNA from 1 species